rnacentral:rRNA from 1 species
CUCGUAGGUGGCCAACUAAGUCAGACGUGAAAUCCCUCGGCUUAACCGGGGAACUGCGUCUGAUACUGGAUGGCUUGAGUUCGGGAGAGGGAUGCGGAAUUCCAGGUGUAGCGGUGAAAUGCGUAGAUAUCUGGAGGAACACCGGUGGCGAAGGCGGCAUCCUGGACCGACACUGACACUGAGGAGAGAAACGCCGAGGGGGAGACGAAACG